AGGACGAACGCUGGCGGCGUGCUUAACACAUGCAAGUCGAGCGGAAAGGCCCUUCGGGGUACUCGAGCGGCGAACGGGUGAGUAACACGUGAGUAAUCUGCCCCUAGCUCUGGGAUAGCUCCGGGAAACCGGGAUUAAUACCAGAUACGACCACUUUAGACAUCUGUUGUGGUGGAAAGAAUUUUGGCUAGGGAUGAGCUCGCGGCCUAUCAGCUUGUUGGUGAGGUAACGGCUCACCAAGGCGACGACGGGUAGCCGGCCUGAGAGGGCGACCGGCCACACUGGGACUGAGACACGGCCCAGACUCCUACGGGAGGCAGCAGUGGGGAAUAUUGCGCAAUGGGCGAAAGCCUGACGCAGCGACGCCGCGUGGGGGAUGAAGGCCUUCGGGUUGUAAACCCCUUUCAGCAGGACGAAGCGAAAGUGACGGUACCUGCAGAAGAAGCGCCGGCUAACUACGUGCCAGCAGCCGC
rnacentral:rRNA from 1 species